rnacentral:rRNA from 1 species
UACGGAGGGUGCAAGCGUUGCUCGGAAUUACUGGGCGUAAAGGGCGUGUAGGCGGUUUCGUAUGUCUGGCGUGAAAGCCCCGGGCUCACCUCGGGAAGUGCGUCGGAAACUGCGAGACUAGAGUCCCGGAGAGGGAGGUGGAAUUCCAGGUGUAGCGGUGAAAUGCGUAGAUAUCUGGAAGAACACCGGUGGCGAAGGCGGCCCGCUGGGCAGUGACUGACGCUGAGGCGCGACAGCGUGGGGAGCAAACAGG